rnacentral:misc_RNA from 1 species
AACAUCGCGCACCUGCGGGAACCUGCGGAGGGAUCAUUACAGAGUUGCAAAACUCCCUAAACCAUUGUGAACGUUACCUAAACCGUUGCUUCGGCGGGCGGCCCGGGUCCUUCCCGGCGCCCAUCGGCCCUCGCGGGCGCCCGCCGGAGGUAAACCAAACUAUUGCAUUGUAUGGCCUCUCUGAGUCUUCUGUACUGAAUAAGUCAAAACUUUCAGCAACGGAUAUCAGAUCGGAAGAGC